AGAUGCCUGCAGCCUGCUGGAGUGGCAGGGUGUUGCUCUGUGUGGGCUGGAACCCUCUGGAAUUCUAUGGUGGCACUCUGUGUGUUAUGGCCACCUCAACUGUGCCAUGUGCCAGCACUGACCAGCUGGGAAUACUGGGAAGCCGAAUCACCCCUUCCACCCUUGGCUGCUGUGGUUACCAGACAGGAAAACAGAGCAGUGAUUCAACUGAAAGGCUGAAGAAUUUCCUUUGUGCAGUCUGGGAGAUGGUUCAUUCUCAUGGGUGGAGGCAGAUGUAAAAGAAAACGACUUGGGUCUCCCACACAGAGGAUGUCACAGUUUUAUGUGGUGUAAAUGAUACUUCUCAUUACCCGGAUGGGCUAAGAAGGCAACAGCUUCUGGGAGGUGUAAAAGUGUGAGAAAAAUUGUCAAGAACUGAACAACAGCAACAUGAUGCUGAAAUUAUAUUUGGGUUGCUAAUCAGAACAAGAGCCUUUAACACUGUUAAUAGGAACAUUAGCAAAGUGUGACUUGAAGAUACCCACAUUUGAAGGAAAUAGUUGAUGUUACAGCACAACUGAACAAAAAAUCCUUUAAAAGCUGUGGAAGAGGCUGUUGUUGAUGCUAAUAUAUGUUGAAAGCUUGAAAUUAAUAAAAGAGUUUAGCAAGGAAAGGCUUCUACAUUACUGAGGAGACAGAAGAUGAACAGAGAGAAGAAAGUACUUUUUAAAUCAGCGGAUCUGCUUUAAAGCCAACCUGAAUAGAGAUGGUAGGAGCUGAAAGCAGGAAGGAGAGAGUCUGCUGAAGUGUUCUGAACAAGUGCAGGACCCAGGCCCAAGAGGUGUUGAACAUUGCUGAUGAGGAAUCAGGUACCUUCAACAUUAUGUGACUGCAGAGUGUGCUCUGAGGCAGCUGAAACAAUAUUUGAAGGAAGAAUGUGAAAACAUUUUGGGCCACUGGGUAUCAGGCAGCAGGGUUGCUGUGCUAAUGAAAAUUUGGAACACCAUUGCAAACUGAAGUGUUUGACAGCAGCAGGAAUUUUUCUGUGCUGUUUAUGAGGUAUAUAAAAAGGAAAACUGAUGAAAAAGGGAAAACCUUUGAAAAACUCUUCAGUUCCAGCUCUAUUUCUAUUGUCUAUCAACAUAUUGCAAGCAGGAAAAAAAUGAAACAUCAGGAGCUAAAACUAUGCGAAGAAGACAGGCUGAGGGCCUUGUAGGUAUGGGACAGAAAGAGGCGUGGCAUGUGCUGGAGAUGGAGCUGAAGGACUAAGAAUUCUGGCAAGCUGGGUGCUGAUCCUUGAACAAUGUUGUCUUCAGCAACAG